AAUUAAAAAAAAAAAAACCCCUAAAUUGAAAAAGAGGAGAAGACGAGGAAAAGAGGAAGAAACUGUCCAGUUUUGUUCUUGUACAAAGCGAGAAUUGCAUUGAGGAAUGACAGAUUUCCCAACACUCGUUGGACCAUCUUGGACUCUUGGUUACUUCCAAAGGACUUUUCUUUUUGGGUGUCAUCACAACUUUUGAAGCAUGGAUGGAUCGUAUGAACCUUCAAUGUCUAAUGGAAGUGACAGUAACGAAAUGCAAUACAAGGGAGUUCGGUAUGAUAAGUUGUCUACAGAAGACCUUAAAGGGCAGGAGUUUAAGACUGUGGAGGAAGCUGAGUCCUUUUACAAUGCUUAUGCAAAGGCUAUGGGUUUUGAUGUUAGAAGCGACUACAAGAAAUUAAGUAUACGCAUAACAGGGAGAGUCACUUUAUUGCGGUUCAUUUUAUUUUCUUGUGUUCUCCUCCUCACGAUAAAACAUCU